GCUCGCAUAGCUCAGUUGGUAGAGCGCGUGACUAGUAUAAUGUGAAUUUCAGAAAUCUGAAAUUCGUCGUUGAAAUCACGAGGUCAGCGGUUCAAGUCCGCUUGUGAGCA
rfam:TPA: Aspergillus nidulans FGSC A4 chromosome I